rnacentral:misc_RNA from 1 species
AAGUCGUAACAAGGUUUCCGUAGGUGAACCUGCGGAAGGAUCAUUAAUACGCUUUUGUUUGUAACAAAACAAAACGUUUUAAACUCCAAAAGAAAUCGUGGAAAUACAACUUCCGGAUGCGAAUGUUGGGAACUGAGUAAAAUUGGUUCUUUGAAAAGAGACUUCAAGCAAUCGACACUUCAGAGUAGAGCAGUGAGGUGAAAUUCUCUUUACUGAGAGUUUGGUUCUGAAAAACAUUUGUAUCCGGUUAUCAUAGUCUGUUCUACAAACUCCAAAAUAUCAAACAAUAAACCCCAUGUACAACAACUUGAACUAAACAUUUUUUUGUUGUUCUUUUUGCACUUGUGUGAGAAGAUCUACAAAGAAAAAACUGAACUUAAGAACAACUCUUAACAACGGAUAUCUUGGUUCUC